rnacentral:snRNA from 1 species
AGCGACGCAAAGAGCACAAAGCAAACUAUUCUUAUGCCUUUUAUGAAAGAAAACCAUGUGCUCACUGCAAUUAGUGGCAUAUGCCCUUUUCUUGAGGGGUUCUCUUCCAUGAGUGCC